CCAACAGGGAUUGCCUUAGUAGCGGCGAGUGAAGCGGCAAAAGCUCAAAUUUGAAAUCUGGCACCUUCGGUGUCCGAGUUGUAAUUUGAAGAUUGUAACCUUGGGGUUGGCUCUUGUCUAUGUUUCUUGGAACAGGACGUCACAGAGGGUGAGAAUCCCGUGCGAUGAGAUGCCCAAUCCUAUGUAAGGUGCUUUCGAAGAGUCGAGUUGUUUGGGAAUGCAGCUCUAAGUGGGUGGUAAAUUCCAUCUAAAAGCUAAAUAUUGGCGAGAGACCGAUAGCGAACAAGUACAGUGAUGGAAAGAUGAAAAGAACUUUGAAAAGAGAGUGAAAAAGUACGUGAAAUUGUUGAAAGGGAAGGGUUUGAGAUCAGACUCGAUAUUUUGUGAGCCUUGCCUUCGUGGCGGGGUGACCCGCAGCUUAUCGGGCCAGCAUCGGUUUGGGCGGUAGGAUAAUGGCGUAGGAAUGUGACUUUGCUUCGGUGAAGUGUUAUAGCCUGCGNUGAUGCUGCCUGCCUAGAUCCGAGGACUGCGAUUUUAUCAAGGAUGCUGG
rnacentral:rRNA from 1 species